CAAGCCAUGAUGUCGCUAAGCGCCACAUUACUCGGUCAUCUCUCUGUUCCAGCGGCGGCCUCCUAAACGCCGAUCCGAUCCGCUCCCUGUGGCGGCCGAGAACGGCCGGUGAUGGUGGCCAACGGCGGGGAGUGUUGAUGACGUCUGCCUGCUGCUCGAUUCCAGGUCAUGCAAGGCAAUCGUAGCUCACACAGGUGCGUAGCAAAAAGGGGCAAAGCAUGGCAUUGCAAUGUAUCCAUAGGUACACCACUGCAUGUUGGGCAAUGAGUGCAUUUACCUUUUGUAUGAUCGCUCCAUUCAUCUCAAGAUUCGCAAAAACAAUUGCCAUCCUGCAUUAGCAAAUGCACACAUUAGCUAAUGCAAUGUACGAUCAACAAAUGCAGGUUGUCAGACACCCUCAUGUUCUCUUCUCCUGUCUCAUGAAGGAGCAGUCCCCUGUGCCAAACAAGUGACCUAUGAAAAUUGGUGGUCUCAGACCAAGUUGGUGUCUCACAAAAAAAAAGGGAGCUGCAGAUGGCAGCUGGGGAUGUCGGUGGCCCUUUGUAGAUUUAGCAUUGGCAGGUAACCAACAACUACCAGACUUUAUGAAUUACAACUUGUGCAAUGCCUAAGAUGCUAUAGACCAUAACUAUACAUCAAACACAUUGUUUUUUGUUCAAACAAUGGGAUGUUAUUCCUAGUCCUCCACAAGUAUCAGAAUUAAUACUGGACUGACAAGUCAGCAACUGUGUCUUCUUCUAGUGACAGAUUCUCUCUUCCAUAAUUAGUUGCAAGUAAUUACUAAAGACAUUCCUAGUUAUUAUUUGACAAUCCAUAGCUUCUCCAAAUUGCUAGGCUGCUCAGACCUAAUCUCUUUCCAGCUUUACUAAAGUUAGACUGUGUGUUAAUCAUUGAUAUGAUAAUGAAAUAGUCAUCUGAUGUAAAUGAAAACGUUAUUAAUUUUGUG